AGUUCGGUCCCUAUCUGUCGUGGGCGCAGGAAAUUUGAGAGGAGCUGUCCUUAGUACGAGAGGACCGGGAUGGACGUACCGCUGGUGCACCAGUUGUUUCGCCAGAAGCAUGGCUGGGUAGCUACGUACGGACGGGAUAAGCGCUGAAAGCAUCUAAGCGUGAAGCCCCCCUCAAGAUGAGAUUUCCCAAUUAGUAAGACCCCU
rnacentral:rRNA from 1 species